AAAAAGGGUAUUUGCUUCUUGAUGGUGCGCGGUUCCUCUGGAACUGUGUGGAAUCGCCAUCUAGAGAUUCUGAAUACAUAAUUUUUGUAGUUCAGGAGCUGUUGAUUGGCUCAGUCAUCGACGCUCCU